rnacentral:sRNA from 1 species
GGCGGUAUCACUGAACGUCACACAUGCACCGACACGCGAAACCUGGGUGCCCCCGCUGCGGCUGGGGUUGGUGAGCGGGGUGUGUGGAGGCCUAAC